AUUGAACGCUGGCGGCAUGCCUUACACAUGCAAGUCGAACGGCAGCACGGGUGCUUGCACCUGGUGGCGAGUGGCGAACGGGUGAGUAAUACAUCGGAACAUGUCCUGUAGUGGGGGAUAGCCCGGCGAAAGCCGGAUUAAUACCGCAUACGAUCCACGGAUGAAAGCGGGGGACCUUCGGGCCUCGCGCUAUAGGGUUGGCCGAUGGCUGAUUAGCUAGUUGGUGGGGUAAAGGCCUACCAAGGCGACGAUCAGUAGCUGGUCUGAGAGGACGACCAGCCACACUGGGACUGAGACACGGCCCAGACUCCUACGGGAGGCAGCAGUGGGGAAUUUUGGACAAUGGGCGAAAGCCUGAUCCAGCAAUGCCGCGUGUGAGAAGAAGGCCUUCGGGUUGUAAAGCACUUUUGUCCGGAAAGAAAUCCUUGGCUCUAAUACAGUCGGGGGAUGACGGUACCGGAAGAAUAAGCACCGGCUAACUACGUG
rnacentral:rRNA from 1 species